rnacentral:lncRNA from 1 species
GAUUCAUGUGUAAUACACAGAGAAACAAUCUACUUUUAUCACAUUACUACUCUUUUUUUCCCCCAAGGCCAAAUGUUUGGAAUAACAGCGGUUGAAUGUGGGGGAACUCCCACACCUGUAUGCGCAGGUGUUCACGCACACUGUCAGAUUUGGAGGCAGGGCUCUGCUGGCCUCACAAGAUAUGUGGUUAUGAAAGAAGGAUUCGGAACUAUACCAUGUACAGACAAGCAUACAGCACGCAGCCCAUCUAUAAGUGCUGCCCGGGUCGGAGCCUGUGGGACCAUGAACCUGGCUGCCCACACUCUGUCUCUGCAGUGGGGACAUGUUUCAAUGGAAAGAGGUGCUCAGACAGUGAGGCCCAGUGGUGCCGGUGCUCAGAGGGUUUCCAAGGCCCCCACCGUCAAUAUGUGUGAAAAUUGUUGGACUGAUUGAGAAGUUGAGAAAGCAAGGUCCUCCUUUCCGUCUCCUUACCCCGGUGGCUCUGUCCUGCUACCUUUCCAUGUGAGCCUCCAGCGUAUUCAUCUUCUGAAGCCUGGACAGAGCCCUUUAAGACAGGGUAUAUCUGGGGUUGGCAGAGGUAAGAUUGUUAUGUGUGUGCCUCUUUUUUAGUGAACCUAAACACUGCCAAUUGCAUUACUCCUGUGCAUUUUAUCAAUGAAGAGCCUGACUCUUCACUUCAUUAAUAUCCUUCCAAAGCCAUUUGUUGAGGGAUUUUAUUGCUUUUGUAUAAGUGUAUGCAUUAAGUAUUUUUCUCCACUGAAAUUCAUUUAUUCCUACUCCUAAUAACGGGGAUCAUUUAUUUAAAUUCUAGUUUAUGUUCAAUCUUGAUCUUCUUCCAGUCUCUGGGAUUUAGUUCUCUUCCAUUCUUUCCCUUUCUAAAACAGCUAUUGCACAGAAUAUUGGACCUUUUCUUUUUUCCUUAGAAACUUAGUUAUUCCUAGUUCUGUAACCAUUUCCCAUGUGUGAUUUCUGUUUCCCUAGCUAUCUUUAAAGCUUACUGGGGAGAUGGGAAACAUGUCUUCAUAUACCUUUUGGUUAGCUUACAGAACUGAGCUUCUCAUCAAGUACACAGAAAAAUUGCAUCAAUUAUCUUAACCAAAGUUAUCUGCACCAUAGCUGUUUACCAUUCUUGGAUACAGGACUUCUUUUAGUUAGGGCUUUCUGAUUGAAGGCAACAGAAACCACUCCUAACUUUCUUAGGCAGAAGUGAGAGUAUUUCUGGGAUCUGUUGAAAGAUUAUGGGGGCUGCCCAGAAAAUUGAGGGAAAAAUUGAUAAUCUAGUCUUAGAAAUAGCAGAACAGAGGGUAGCCCUAGGGUUCCACAUAAUUGUUAUUAAUGGGCAAAGUUUUGAUCUUUGUUGUUCAAAUAUUCAAAUUCUAGAACUGACAUCAGGUCUUCUGUUCCUUAUUUGAACAAAAAAAAUGGUGGACUUUUGGACUUGGUACUGCCUUCAUGAUGGGACCAAUAAGCAGGAAAAGGCUUCAAAAAUCUCUUCCACUAUAGCCCUUAUCUUUACAUGUGCUACUCUGGACUCUACACAUCUAAAGGUGCAAUGACAUAUUAUCAGCCCAGUGAGUGUCCUUCAUUCCAUGCCAUUGUUGUUGUUUUACAUUUCUUAGCCAGGCAAACAUGCAUGUCCUCUCUAUAACUUUAGCACACUUAUAUUUAUAGAUCAUUAUAUAUUAUAUAUAGAUCUAAGUUUUUCCAUACUUAGAGAUAAUCUUUUUUUUUAAAUAUUUUAUUUAUUUAUUUGACAGACAGAGAUCACAAGUAGGCAGAGAGGCAGGCAGAGAGAGAAGUGGAAGCAGGCUCCCUGCUGAGCAGAGAGCCCGAUGUGGGGCUCGAUCCCAGGACCCUGGGAUCAUGACCUGAGCCGAAAGCAGAGGCUUUAACCCACUGAGCCACCCAGGCGCCCCCACUUAGAGAU